rnacentral:rRNA from 1 species
UUUAAGUGAAGAGUUUGAUCCUGGCUCAGAGUGAACGCUGGCGGCAGGCCUAAUACAUGCAAGUCGAACGGCAGCACAGCAGAGCUUGCUCUGUGGGUGGCGAGUGGCGGACGGGUGAG